rnacentral:tRNA from 1 species
AGUUAAAUUAAAGAUAAAAUAUGUUUUGAAAACAUAAACUUAGGGGUUAAAUUCCCCUUUUAACUU